ACGAACAGGCUGAUUCGGCUUACAAAACCUAAGAUCGGCAACAUAACAUGUACCAGCAAAACGACCAAGAUGCUUAUAAGAGGCACAAUAUGCAGGGACCCACUCAAAAACAACAUCCUACCAAAAACUAGUAUCCCCCUCACCAAUCUAAAUACGUGGUAGCAAAGGCUGCAAAACAUCAUACUCAACAAGCACCCUAGUAACUGAAGGCUUAUUAAUUGAGGUCGCGGCAUGAUCAACACGUAAUGGGGUACCAAUGGCAACAAUAAUAGAAAAAAAAGCAGACUUAAAAGCGAUAAAAUGCACAGGCAAAUAAGGUAAUGAUACCCAAAUAGGCACAAUAAGGGAUUCCAAUGAAUGACGGAAAUCAGUACUCCACUUAAAAAUUCGUAUUCCCCAACCAUUAACAUACCAAGUCUGCCUCACCCAAAUAUGCGAGUAGUGUUCCUCCAAGAAUAGUUUAAUCAACAUAUGUGUAUUAUCAAGCAAAGACACCUGACAACUCUCUUUUCAGCCCUAAGGAAACAAAAAAUUUCCUAAUAAUAUCCAUCAAAAUGCAAUCAAAAGAAAACUUACCGACGGAGGCCAGCUUAAACGGUUCAGCUAUAACUUUUACUUCCUCUGCUGAGAAUAGCACAACAAGCUCACCCCGAUACAACAAAGCUAGCUUAACUGGAAUAGUACUGAAGCAGGGCCCACUACAAAGCUGAAGUAUAAGAGGGCUUAGAAUUAGAGUUUGGAUUGCGGGUUGCGGGAUUAAGAGGUUUUGACCAUUGUGUGUGUGCGAUACCAGUCGCGACAUCACUGGUGAUAAGUGGCGUAGGAUGAUGUGGGUCAUGGGAUAAGGUUUUUGAUGGCUGGUUUAUGUAUGCAACUAUAAGUUGAGAGCUAGAUCAUGACAAGACCAAGGUUGCAUGGGGGUUGUUGAGGCUUGUUGAAGGCACUAAUUGUAGUUGUAAGGUGGAUGUGUGAUGGUUAGGCAAAGGCUGGUUGAAGUUGUGAAGGGUGGCUGGCAAAGGAAAACCAUUGCACGCGGUAGUCAAAAGCUGUUGAGUAGUAGUUGAAUUAGCUUCAUGCAUAUGAUGGCGUGACUGUAAAGUUGUAGGUUACUGAUUAGGGAGAUUAACUGACGACACAAAAUGCAAAGGGGACAAGGCAUCAGUUGGGGCAGCACCGUUGAGAAGGGCUGGGUUAGUGACAGCCAUUGUAAAAGGCCAAAAAAUGAAAACUAAGGUAUUAUAAGGUGGAUUCGGUUUGAGGUAAUAGUGGUUGUUGUGGCUAUAGCAAAGGCAAGGCUCCAUCGACGUGGAGCAGGGGUGGAUGAAGGGUUCAGUUGGGGAUGUCGCCAAUAGCCUGAAACGUGGCCGUAGUGGGUGAAGAAAAGCGGACAAUUUGACAUGAUUUAAGGCUACGACUUGCAUCAAACCAUGACUGUGGCCAGGUUUGUCCAUCCCAAGUGGGGUCACAUAUGAAAUAAGGAACUUCUGACGAUGACAGAGUUGGUACGUUUUGGAUAAGAUGGCAGGUUAAGGGGCUGUCAAGACUGUGUGAUGUCGCCGGCGGUGGGGUGGGGCUCCAAUAGUGGCGGGACACCACCACCAGUGGCUGUUGAUGACAUGCCGGUGGCCAAAACUGCAAAAGGAGUGGCGACUAGUUGUAUAUUUUAGAAGUCAACUUUUUUGACCUCUCACACCCCACCAUUGAAAACUUUAAUAUAUAAAUGUCAUGAGAGCUAAAUAAAUUCAUCUUAAUUAUUAGUAAAACCCUAAAUAAUAAAACAAAAUUGAAGAUUUUCGGAGCAUCUUUACAUUAGUUUUUCAUUAAGCAUAUCAACAGCAAGCAGAAUACAUUAUCUGUAAAUUACAUGAACUGUAUUAGUCUAUUCGCUAAAUUAAGGAUAAUAUUUUGACUCAAAGGCUAAGGCCUACUAAUUUUUGGCAAAGACAAAGGAUUUCACAUUUGAACAAAAGGAGUUAUAAAUUCUUAAUUUGCCAACAGAGGAACCCAAUUAAGAUCUAGGGAUGUCAAACAAUAUGUUGUUGUUUACUAAAAACAUCUGUAGAUAGGCUCAUUCCAGCAUAAGAUCCAUAAGUCUAUCCACCAUAUUUUAUGCAAUGAUUUCAAGUAAAAUGAAGCCAUCUUCCUACUCUAUAUAUAUGAAAAACAUGCCGUUGUUUUUUGUAAUUUUUUAUGUAUUUUCUUACACUACUACAAAAUUGGUCUUUAAUGACAAUUUUAAAGGACAAGAUUAUGGUUUUAAAACCGUCAUCUUAGGCAAUGACAUUAAAAGGUGCACACUUUUUAUGACGGUUCAAAAACCGUCAUUAAAUGUAUACUUAUAAUGACGGUUAUUUUAGUAAAUAAUCAUUAUAUGCCAAGGUACAUAAGUUUUAAUGUCCCUUUUUUUUGUCAAGGGCCAUCAUUAAAUAAACAUUCUUAAUGACGAUGAUUUUACUAAACAGUCAUUAUUUGCGAAAUACACUAGGGUUUUAAUGACAAAUUUUUCCUAAAAACCGACAUUAAAAAGUACCAUUUAAUGACGGUUCUUUAAACAUCAAUCAUCAAUAGCACUUUUCCAUUUAUUUUUAACGAUGGUUUUGAAAAAAAAAAGUCAUUAAAUGUCAUUUUUUAAUGACAAUUAUAAAAAAAAAAGUCAUUCAGUAUUUAUUUUUAUUGACAUUUUUUUAAUAAUCAUCAUUAAUGUACUUUUUAAUGAUGGCUUUCUAAUGAAACCGUCAUCUUAUAUUGUUCUUUGAUGACUGUUCUUAUAUAAGAACCAUCAUCUUUUGCAUGAGUAAAAGGAAAAAUAGCAAUUCAAAAUUACCAUACUUCAAUUUUUUUUUUAAAUUAAAAUUUGCAUAGUUUUUUUUUUUUUGCAUUCUAAACUAUACAAACAUAUUUAAUAUUUCCUUCAUCUGAAAAAAAAAUACUACAACAUCAAAUUUCUCAUAAAGUCUUCAAUAACUACUUUUUAUAGUCCAUGUAAGUAGCAACACUAACUCCCUAAGUUUAAACAUAGAACAUACAAGUUUUAAUGAGUAAAAAAUAAUAAUCAUUUACUUAUAAAUUACUCAAAUACAAACAAGCUUAAUUAUAACAGUUUAGCACUUGCAUAACCUUGAUCAAACUAACUCCUAACAAUGAAAAAAUGUACUACAUGAAUUCUCAAAUUAAAAUUCAGUAUCAUGUAACUGUACAAACAAAUAUAAACCAAAAAGCAAAUGGAGACUAUGUUUUCAGCUUACAUACGGUAGUAUUGGCACUUAGAACAUUUAUACCGAGCCAGCAAGCUUGCCCUUCAGAAACUAAAUCCUUAAUGCUUAUAAUUAUACACAUUGCAUGUUUUGCAAAGCAGUUCUUGCCUUGCAACUAGCCUUACCAAUGUAGUUUCUAUUAAAUCAAUACUUAUUGGAGCCUCAGUAUCACCAUUUUCAUUGGUUAGCUACAAAGAACAGAAACUAAAAAUUCAAAUCAAAAGGUAAAGCUAAACAAAUUAGCUUUUAAAGUAAAUGAAAAAAAGUGGAGCCUAAAAAAAUCUCAAGUAUCAUCAUUUACACUGAUUAGUUCAAUCUCGAUUUUAUGUUUACAGGCUCUUUAUUUAAGACAUGAAACUAGAAAACUUCUUCUUUUGUUGUGAACAAGAAUAAAUCUAAAAAUUCUGUCAAUCUUAUAUGGAUAAGCAAGAGGGGGAAAAAAACUCAAUUACCACAUUUUCAUAGGAACUUCAUUGCUAUAUUUAAGUUACUUGUUUUAGAGAGAGGAUGAACAAACAUAAAAUUCCCACAAUCCCACAUGCAACAUUUCUCGUAAAUAUGAUAACUUGGCUUACUAUAAUAUUGGAUACUCAACAAAGACUAGUUGAAAAAAUUACAUUAGCGACAGAGAUCAUGCUCACUGUACAACAACCAUAAUUUCAGCCAUCAAGAAGAAUACACAACUUGAUCAAGUAGCCACUGAUAACAUUUUCCUUUCACUUCCUAACAAUUAUCUUCAAACUAGCAUAUGAAUUCAGGCCAUGCUAAUUCUAAUUCUUAUUUUAUAAUGGAAGAGUAUAAUGAUCACAUUAAUCUAAUUCUACUACCAUGGAAAAUAAAGAGAAAAGAAAUAAUCAUAAAAAUUGGAUAAGCAGACAGUCAUAAUCUAGAUGCAAAACUAGUCAACAGUGGAAAUAAAUCAUCAUAUAAGGAAAUCUCAAGCACAGAACCAACCUAGCGGAUCAGAUUUCCUUUAAAGCACACUUGUAGUGCACAAAAGAGCAAAUUUCAUCUCACAAACAAAUAAGUAAAUAAUUUGUACCUAUUGUUAUUGCAGCAAUCUAACCUAGCCAUAUUGAGAUACUAAUUAAUAAAUGGAGAAGCAAAUUUAGUCUGAAAUAAUUAACUUAAUUGCACUUGACACGUAUUUUUUUCCUCAAAACCUUGAAGUAUUAUAAUAUUCCACCUAAGAUCAUUGUAAAGCUCAGCACAAUGAAGAAGAACUAAAAAUGGAUAGUAAUAUAGUAUAUCUACAAGACAAAAUAAUUAAAUGCUAAUAAGUAGGAAAUAAAUCAUUUGUGGGAUAAGAUGAAAACCUCUCGUAGUGUAUCAAUGAAAGAUUGAUAAUUUAUUAUUUAAUUAACUGACAUAGGUAGCAUUUCAGGAGUCUAUUUUGAUUUAAUGUGCAUGGAUGCCUAUCAUUCUAUCUAAAGAACUGGAAUAACAUCAGAGAUAUAAGGGUAUAGGAACAAAAUCUUAGAUUGUUAAAUUUCUUAUUAGAAAAAAAAAAGACAACAAGAACAUCUCAGUUUGUUUCCAAGGGGGCCCUCAGAAAUUUGCUCAAGAAUAAAUUUAAAAGAAAUGAAUAAUUAAUAAUUAUUAUGAGGACAUAUUUAGAAUGUCAAGCUACUACAUAAGUUAAAUUACCUUAUCACAAAGAAUGCAAACUUUUUCAAGGUUUACCUCUUGGGAAGUUUGGAAGACUUCCAAGAGAUAUAAUUUGAUUUCCACAACAACAUAUAGUUGCUGCAAAACUGAUAAAUUUUAUUUCAUUAUAACUUCAACAUUCUUUUAUGACAAAUGCGAGAUAAACAAAACAAGACAAAUUUGUAAGGACUAGCAAUUCUCUAGAGAUUCAAAUCUUGGCCCUUUAAAUGUUUACACAUGAAUAUAUUGAAGAACUAUAAUUUCAAAGGAAAAGAAAUUGAACAAAGAAUUAAAAAUUUAACAAAUAGAAUUUGACAAUCCAACAUUCAGAAAUUGAGUUUGUGCAAAUAAAUUUGAUCCAAAAGAUUCAACCAUAUCUUUGCAACAUGUUAUAACUGAUUUUUUAAAUAUAUUUUUUCAUAGCAAAUACUUGUGGUUUUAGCAAAAUUAAGUACAAAAAUAUAUUUAAAUCAAAUGGUGGGUGGAUUGAAAUAGAAAUUCAAAAGAUUAAAAAAAUAUAUAGCUUAUUCAAGACAAGAACACAAUGUAAAUGGUGCUAAAAUUUGUUACCUCUAAGAUUACAACUAAUAAAUAGAUUGUAAAGGAGAAGAAGUUGUUACUUAUUCAUUGGUUUCAAUUAUAGCUAUAUGAAGUAAAUUCAAGGUCCAUCUCGUCUUUGCACAUUUCCAAAACUAAUAAAGAUGUAAGCCUUUCCAUUUAGCACUCCAUACAGACCACGAGGGAUAUGAAAAUAUAUCAUCAUCAUCAAAUAAAAAAAUACUAAUAAUUUUACCAAAUGUAAAUAAGAAAAGAUAUUAUAAAAAAUAAAUAUUCAACUAAUUAAUCUUCAAUUAUACCGGUUUAUUAAAAAAAAAAAAGGGAAUUACUUUGGACAUAAGAAUAAACAGCAAAACAAAUAAAAAAUUACAGGCAAAAAACAGCACCAAGAAGUUCUAGGCAAUAAAGCAUGACGACAUCCAAAAAUCCAGGUGUUGGUUUUUAACAAUAAACAAUAGCAUGAAAGCACCUAGAAAAUUUUUGGGUGCUAUCCAGCUACUGCACUCAGGUUAAAAACAACAUCGCCUACUAAUUUUAACAGCAACCAAAGCAUAGCACAACCAGAAAAUUUUUGGGUGCUGACCAACUGCUGUAUUUUUGUUAAAGACAGCACAAGUUGCUAUUUUUAAUAGCAAACAACAGCAUGACAACACCCAGAAAUUUUUUUGAGUGUUGUACAGUUACUGCAUUUAGGUUAAAAAUAGCAGGCGAUGUUGUUUUUAAUAGCAAACAGAGCAUAGCACACCUAGAAAAUUUUUGGGUGCUGACCAGCUGUUAUAUUUGCGUUAAAACCUAAUGCUGUUUUUAACAACGAACAGCAGCAUGACAGCAUCCAAAAACUUUUUUGGGUGCUGACAGGCUGCUGUAUUUGGGUUAAAAACAACAGCAUGACUUUUGAAAUGAAAUGAAAAUAGUUUUUCAAGUAUGUAGGCGAGUCUCCAAAUUCAAGCAGCAAUCAAAUCCUCUGCAAUAUAACAUGAUUAAUCCUCCCACAAGUCAUUGGCUAAUGUGUAUACAAUUACAUAUAUAAAGAUUGAAGGGGAAAGCUUGCGAACUCAAACAACAGAUGUAUAAAAAUUAGAGCAGCAAUGUCCAAAUCGAAGAUUGUGAAUAAUUUGCCAGCAUACAUGUGAUUAGCCACACUCGAGAACAAAACUCAUGUCAUUUUAUAGUUCUAGGGUUCAGUCAUUUCAAAAAAUUAGUUCAUUUAAGAGGAGAAACUUUAGAAUAAAAUCCUUUUCCCAAUACAGUACAACAACCACUAUUAGGGUUUUUAACUACACAUUUAGGAGUCAAUUUUUUCAAGAAUUUUUACUAAAAUUGAUGUGCAAGAGAAGAUAAUAACAAAAAUUACCUGUUUUAAUCGUUCAAUCGGGCUUAAUCAACUGUGGGUUCUUAGUUAGGGUUUUGCAAUUCAAUGGCGGCAACACAUGCGCUCGGUGGGUACUUCGUAUGGUUCUCAAUGAGGGCCAAAUCGAUGGCAAAAGACGAGACAAUGUCUGCAUUAGUUUGUUGCCCCGCAAGGAUUUUAAUUAAAAAAGGAGAGUGAUGAGAGUAAGAGAUGAGAAUGAGAGUGCCAUCACUUAGGAAAACUCGGUGCGGAACCAUCA
rnacentral:lncRNA from 1 species